GGCUCUGUGGCGCAAUGGAUAGCGCAUUGGACUUCUAAUUCAAAGGUUGUGAGUUCGAGUCCCAUCAGAGUCA